UACGAAGGGGGCUAGCGUUGCUCGGAAUCACUGGGCGUAAAGGGUGCGUAGGCGGGUCUUUUAAGUCAGGGGUGAAAUCCUGGAGCUCAACUCCAGAACUGCCUUCGAUACUGGCGAUCUUGAGUCCGGAAGAGGUGAGUGGAACUCCUAGUGUAGAGGUGGAAUUCGUAGAUAUUAGGAAGAACACCAGUGGCGAAAGCGGCUCUCUGGUCCAAAACUGACGCUGAGGGGCGAAAGCGUGGGGAGCGAACGGG
rnacentral:rRNA from 1 species